GAUGAACGCUAGCGGCAGGCCUAACACAUGCAAGUCGAGGGAGAAGCCCUUCGGGGCAGAAACCGGCGCACGGGUGCGUAACGCGUAUGCAACCUACCUUUCACAGGGGGAUAGCCCGAAGAAAUUUGGAUUAAUACCCCAUAAUAUUAUUGGAUGGCAUCAUUUGAUAAUUAAAAUUACGAUGGUGAAAGAUGGGCAUGCGUCCUAUUAGCUAGUUGGAGUGGUAACGGCACCCCAAGGCUACGAUAGGUAGGGGUCCUGAGAGGGAGAUCCCCCACACUGGUACUGAGACAGGGACCAGACUCCUACGGGAGGCAGCAGUGAGGAAUAUUGGUCAAUGGUCGGAAGACUGAACCAGCCAUGCCGCGUGCAGGAAGAAUGCCUUAUGGGUUGUAAACUGCUUUUAUAUGGGAAGAAUAAGGAGUAACGUGUA
rnacentral:rRNA from 1 species